rnacentral:rRNA from 1 species
ACUCAAUAGAUACCCAGGUAGUCCACGCCCUAAACGAUGUCUACUAGUUGUCGGGUCUUAAUUGACUUGGUAAACGCAGCUAAACGCGUGAAGUAGACCGCCUGGGGAGUACGGUCGCAAGAUUAAAACUCAAAGGAAUUGACGGGGACCCGCACAAGCGGUGGAUGAUGUGGAUUAAAUUCGAUGCAACGCGAAAAACCUUAACCUACCCUUCGACAUGGAAGGGAAUCCCUGAGAGAUCGGGGAGUGCUCGAAAGAGAACCUUUACACAGGUGCUGCAUGGCUGUCGUCAGCUCGUGUCGUGAGAUGUUGGGUUAAGUCCCGCAACGAGCGCAACCCUUGUCAUUAGUUGCUACGAAAGGGCACUCUAAUGAGACUGCCGGUGACAAACCGGAGGAAGGUGGGGAUGACGUCAAGUCCUCAUGGCCCUUAUGGGUAGGGCUUCACACGUCAUACAAUGGUACAUACAGAGGGCCGCAACCCGCGACGGGGGUAGCUAAUGCCAGAAAGUGUAUCGUAGUCC